AAUUCAGCUCUGUUGACAAUUUCGAACUAUCUCCUUAAACCUCUUCCAUGCUUCAAAAAUAGUUUCAGUCUCUUUCUGGCAGAAGUUAUAGAUUUCUCCUCUAAACUU
rfam:Nicotiana attenuata strain TT scaffold04882, whole genome shotgun sequence.